AGUCGAGCGGUAGAGAGAAGCUUGCUUCUCUUGAGAGCGGCGGACGGGUGAGUAAUGCCUAGGAAUCUGCCUGGUAGUGGGGGAUAACGUUCGGAAACGGACGCUAAUACCGCAUACGUCCUACGGGAGAAAGCAGGGGACCUUCGGGCCUUGCGCUAUCAGAUGAGCCUAGGUCGGAUUAGCUAGUUGGUGGGGUAAUGGCUCACCAAGGCGACGAUCCGUAACUGGUCUGAGAGGAUGAUCAGUCACACUGGAACUGAGACACGGUCCAGACUCCUACGGGAGGCAGCAGUGGGGAAUAUUGGACAAUGGGCGAAAGCCUGAUCCAGCCAUGCCGCGUGUGUGAAGAAGGUCUUCGGAUUGUAAAGCACUUUAAGUUGGGAGGAAGGGCAGUAAAUUAAUACUUUGCUGUUUUGACGUUACCGACAGAAUAAGCACCGGCUAACUCUGUGCCAGCAGCCGCGGUAAUACAGAGGGUGCAAGCGUUAAUCGGAAUUACUGGGCGUAAAGCGCGCGUAGGUGGUUCGUUAAGUUGGAUGUGAAAUCCCCGGGCUCAACCUGGGAACUGCAUUCAAAACUGACGAGCUAGAGUAUGGUAGAGGGUGGUGGAAUUUCCUGUGUAGCGGUGAAAUGCGUAGAUAUAGGAAGGAACACCAGUGGCGAAGGCGACCACCUGGACUGAUACUGACACUGAGGUGCGA
rnacentral:rRNA from 1 species